GGGCUUGACAUCCCACGAACCUGCCUGAAAGGGCGGGGUGCCCGCAAGGGAGCGUGGAGACAGGUGGUGCAUGGCUGUCGUCAGCUCGUGUCGUGAGAUGUUGGGUUAAGUCCCGCAACGAGCGCAACCCUCACCCCUAGUUGCUACCGGGUAAUGCCGAGCACUCGAGGGGAACUGCCAGCGUCAAGCUGGAGGAAGGCGGGGAUGACGUCAAGUCAUCAUGCCCCUUACGUCCUGGGCUACACACGUGCUACAAUGGCCGGUACAAAGGGAUGCGAGACCGCGAGGUGGAGCCAAUCCCAAAAAGCUGGUCUAAGUUCGGAUUGCAGUCUGCAACUCGACUGCAUGAAGUAGGAAUCGCUAGUAAUCGCGCAUCAGCACGGCGCGGUGAAUACGUUCCCGGGCCUUGUACACACCGCCCGUCACACCACGAAAGCUGGCUGUACUCGAAGUCGCUGAG
rnacentral:rRNA from 1 species